CCUACGGGAGGCAGCAGUGGGGGAUAUUGCACAAUGGGGGGAACCCUGAUGCAGCGACGCCGCGUGAAGGAAGAAGUAUCUCGGUAUUUUAACUUCUAUCAGUAGGGAAGAAAAUGACGGUACCUGACUAAGAAGCCCCGGCUAAAUACGUGCCAGCAUCCGCGGACAUCAGUAGGGCGCAAGCGUUAUUCGGAUUUACUGGGUGUAAAGGGAGCGUAGGCGGCAGUGCAAGUUAGAAGUGAAAGCUCGGGGCUCAACACCGGGACUGCGUUUGAAACUGUACAGCUUGAUUGCAGGAGAGGCAAGUGGAAUUCCUAGUGUAGCGGUGAAAUGCGUAGAUAUUAGGAGGAACACCAGUGGCGAAGGCGGCUUGCUGGACUGUAAAUGACGCUGAGGCUCGAAAGCGUGGGGAGCAAACAGGAUUAGAUACCCGAGUAGUC
rnacentral:rRNA from 1 species